rnacentral:rRNA from 1 species
UUGACCUCCAAUCCGGAAGUACUACUCGCUGAACUUUAUCAUAACAUUAACUGCAAGA